rnacentral:rRNA from 1 species
UGUUUUCUCUGUGUGCCAGCAGCCGCGGUAAUUCCAGCUCCAAUAGCGUAUAUUAAAGUUGUUGUGGUUAAAAAGCUCGUAGUUGAACUUUGGGCCUGGCUGGCCGGUCCGCCUCACCGCGUGCACUGGUCCGGCCGGGCCUUUCCCUCUGCGGAACCCCAUGCCCUUUCACUGGGUGUGGCGGGGAAACAGGACUUUUACUUUGAAAAAAUUAGAGUGCUCAAGGCAGGCCUAUGCUCGAAUACAUUAGCAUGGAAUAAUAGAAUAGGACGUGUGGUUCUAUUUUGUUGGUUUCUAGGACCGCCGUAAUGAUUAAUAGGGACAGUCGGGGGCAUCAGUAUUCAAUUGUCAGAGGUGAAAUUCUUGGAUUUAUUGAAGACUAACUACUGCGAAAGCAUUUGCCAAGGAUGUUUUCAUUAAUCAGGAACGAAAGUUAGGGGAUCGAAGACGAUCAGAUACCGUCGUAGUCUUAACCAUAAACUAUGCCGACUAGGGAUCGGACGAUGUUACAUUUUUGACGCGUUCGGCACCUUACGAGAAAUCAAAGUGCUUGGGCUCCAGGGGGAGUAUGGUCGCAAGGCUGAAACUUAAAGAAAUUGACGGAAGGGCACCACCAGGGGUGGAGCCUGCGGCUUAAUUUGACUCAACACGGGGAAACUCACCAGGUCCAGACACAAUGAGGAUUGACAGAUUGAGAGCUCUUUCUUGAUUUUGUGGGUGGUGGUGCAUGGCCGUUCUUAGUUGGUGGAGUGAUUUGUCUGCUUAAUUGCGAUAACGAACGAGACCUUAACCUGCUAAAUAGCCCGUAUUGCUUUGGCAGUACGCCGGCUUCUUAGAGGGACUAUCGGCUCAGCCGAUGGAAGUUUGAGGCAAUAACAGGUCAUAUAUGGCGCCCUCUAAGAGAA